AUGGCACGCAAUUUCUGCGGUGGUGCUGUGGCAGCAGUAUGCCGUGAUCACAUGGGGAAUUAUCUUGGAUCCUCGGCUAUGCUCUAGAGAGGGGUAACUGACCCAAACAUGAUGGAAACAUACGCAUGCAGGGAAGCGAUGGCACUUGCAGAUGAUCUACUAGUGCAGAAGAUAAAAGUGGCGUCCGACUGCCUGGGAGUGGUGACCGAUAUUAACAAGGGUACGGGAGGCUCCCAUGCAGCAGUAGUACAUGAAAUAAUGAACCAUAGUAGUAGUUUUGAUUCUUGCUUUUUUGUUCAUGAGCCACGGUACCAUAAUUUUGAGGCUCAUAAUCUCGCCAAGUUUGCUUGUAAUCUGAGUUUAGGUAGACAUGUGUGGCUCAUAAUCUCGCCAAGUUUGCUUGUAAUCUGA
rnacentral:rRNA from 1 species